rnacentral:rRNA from 1 species
GACGAACGCUGGCGGCGUGCUUAACACAUGCAAGUCGAACGGAAAGGCCCUGCUUUUGUGGGGUGCUCGAGUGGCGAACGGGUGAGUAACACGUGAGUAACCUGCCCUUGACUUUGGGAUAACUUCAGGAAACUGGGGCUAAUACCGGAUAGGAGCUCCUGCUGCAUGGUGGGGGGUGGAAAGUUUCGGCGGUUGGGGAUGGACUCGCGGCUUAUGAGCUUGUUGGUGGGGUAGUGGCUUACCAAGGCUUUGACGGGUAGCCGGCCUGAGAGGGUGACCGGCCACAUUGGGACUGAGAUACGGCCCAGACUCCUACGGGAGGCAGCAGUGGGGAAUAUUGCACAAUGGGCGGAAGCCUGAUGCAGCAACGCCGCGUGCGGGAUGACGGCCUUCGGGUUGUAAACCGCUGUCGCCUGUGACGAAGCGUGAGUGACGGUAAUGGGUAAAGAAGCACCGGCUAACUACGUG